CAGUCGCCGCGGUAAUACGUAGGGCGCAAGCGUUGUCCGGAAUUAUUGGGCGUAAAGAGCUCGUAGGCGGUUUGUCGCGUCUGGUGUGAAAACCUCAGGCUCAACCUGGGGCGUGCAUCGGGUACGGGCAGACUAGAGUGCGGUAGGGGAGACUGGAAUUCCUGGUGUAGCGGUGGAAUGCGCAGAUAUCAGGAGGAACACCGAUGGCGAAGGCAGGUCUCUGGGCCGCAACUGACGCUGAGGAGCGAAAGCAUGGGGAGCGAACAGGAUUAGAUACCCCCGUAGUCCCUGUCUCUUAUAA
rnacentral:rRNA from 1 species